CCUACGGGUGGCUGCAGUGAGGAAUAUUGGUCAAUGGGCGCAGCCCUGAACCAGCCAAGUCGCGUGAGGGAAGGCUGCCCUCUGGGUUGUAACCCCCUUUUAUAAGGGAAGAAUAAUAACUACGUGUCGUCUGAUGCCCGUCCCUUAUGAAUCAGCAUCCGCUAAUUCAGUGCAAGCAGCCGCGGUAAUACGGAGGAUGCGAGUGUUAUCCGGAUUUAUUGGGUUUAAGGGGUGCGUAGGCGGUAUUUUAAGUUAGUGGUAAAACGUCGGGUCUACACCUUGAUUGGCCAUUAAAACUGGAGUACGAGAGUACAGACGAGGUAGGCGGAAUAAGUGAUGUAGCGGUGAAAUGCUUAGAUAUAACGUAGAACCCCGAUAGCGAAGGCAGCUUACCAGACUGUUACUGACGCUGAAGCACGAGAGCGUGGGUAGCGAACAGGAUUAGAUACCCCAGUAGUC
rnacentral:rRNA from 1 species